GACCGUUUCCGCUUCCGUCCACUUGGCGAGUGAGACGCUGACGGGAGGAUGGACGUACUGGUGACUGAGUGCUCCGCGCGGCUGCUGCAGCAGGAAGAAGAGAUUAAAUCUCUGACUGCUGAAAUUGACCGAUUGAAAAACUGUGGCUGUUUAGGAGCGUCUGCAAAUUUGGAGCAGUUACAAGAAGAAAAUUUAAAAUUAAAGUAUCGACUGAAUAUUCUUCAAAAGAGUCUUCAGGCAGAAAGGAACAAACCAACUAAAAAUAUGAUUAACGUUAUUAGCCGCCUACAAGAGGUCUUUGGUCAUGCAAUUAAAGCUGCAUAUCCAGAUUUGGAAAAUCCUCCUCUGCUAGUGACACCAAGUCAGCAGGCCAAGUUUGGGGACUAUCAGUGUAAUAGUGCUAUGGGUAUUUCUCAGGUGAUGUAUUGUCCUGACUCUUGGCUGUUAAAUUUUUUUAAGUAUUAUUAUCAUCAUUGCCAUUUACAGAAAUACUACUAUUGCAAGUUGUAUCCUUAGUGAAAAGAACAUUUGCCACAGUUUGAAAAACUUGAGAAAGGAGUUGGAGGGGUAUAUGUUUUAACUUUUUUAGGCACAAUUUUUAAGGUUUGGUUAAAUUUUAUAUGUAUUCUCAAUAUUUAAGGGCAAUCAUUGGUACUCUUUUGUUUAGGUAUUUCCCUCCUGCUGUGUCCAGGAUUGCUGUGUGGUGGUGAUGAGUGUUGGGAGGUGAAAAAUUAAAAUAAGCCAUUUACCAGUCAGC
rnacentral:sRNA from 1 species